UAUAAUGGGUCAGCGACUUAUAUUCAGUGGCGAGCUUAACCGAAUAGGGGAGGCGUAGCGAAAGCGAGUCUUAAUAGGGCGUUUAGUCGCUGGGUAUAGACCCGAAACCGGGCGAUCUAUCCAUGGGCAGGUUGAAGGUUAGGUAACACUGACUGGAGGACCGAACCGACUACCGUUGAAAAGUUAGCGGAUGACCUGUGGAUCGGAGUGAAAGGCUAAUCAAGCUCGGAGAUAGCUGGUUCUCCUCGAAAUCUAUUUAGGUAGCGCCUCAUGUAUCACUGUAGGGGGUAGAGCACUGUUUCGGCUAGGGGGUCAUCCCGACUUACCAAACCGAUGCAAACUCCGAAUACCUACAAGUGCCGAGCAUGGGAGACACACGGCGGGUGCUAACGUCCGUCGUGAAAAGGGAAACAACCCAGACCGUCAGCUAAGGUCCCAAAGUCAUGGUUAAGUGGGAAACGAUGUGGGAAGGCUUAGACAGCUAGGAGGUUGGCUUAGAAGCAGCCACCCUUUAAAGAAAGCGUAAUAGCUCACUAGUCGAGUCGGCCUGCGCGGAAGAUGUAACGGGGCUCAAACCAUGCACCGAAGCUACGGGUAUCAUCUUAUGAUGAUGCGGUAGAGGAGCGUUCUGUAAGCCUGUGAAGGUGAGUUGAGAAGCUUGCUGGAGGUAUCAGAAGUGCGAAUGCUGACAUGAGUAACGACAAUGCGAGUGAAAAACUCGCACGCCGAAAGACCAAGGUUUCCUGCGCAACGUUAAUCGACGCAGGGUUAGUCGGUCCCUAAGGCGAGGCUGAAAAGCGUAGUCGAUGGAAAACAGGUUAAUAUUCCUGUACUUCCAGUUAUUGCGAUGGAGGGACGGAGAAGGUUAGGCCAGCCUGGCGUUGGUUGUCCAGGUUUAAGGUGGUAGGCUGAAAUCUUAGGCAAAUCCGGGAUUUCAAGGCCGAGAGCUGAUGACGAGUUGCCUUUAGGCGACGAAGUGGUUGAUACCAUGCUUCCAAGAAAAGCUCCUAAGCUUCAGAUAACUGGGAACCGUACCCCAAACCGACACAGGUGGUUAGGUAGAGAAUACCAAGGCGCUUGAGAGAACUCGGGUGAAGGAACUAGGCAAAAUGGCACCGUAACUUCGGGAGAAGGUGCGCCGGCGAGGGUCAAGGACUUGCUCCGUAAGCCCAUGCCGGUCGAAGAUACCAGGCCGCUGCGACUGUUUAUUAAAAACACAGCACUCUGCAAACACGAAAGUGGACGUAUAGGGUGUGACGCCUGCCCGGUGCCGGAAGGUUAAUUGAUGGGGUUAGCGCAAGCGAAGCUCUUGAUCGAAGC
rnacentral:rRNA from 1 species